rnacentral:rRNA from 1 species
UACGGGGGGGCAAGCGUUGUUCGGAAUUACUGGGCGUAAAGGGCUCGUAGGCGGCCAACUAAGUCAGACGUGAAAUCCCUCGGCUUAACCGGGGAACUGCAUCUGAUACUGGAUGGCUUGAGAUUGGGAGAGGGAUGCGGAAUUCCAGGUGUAGCGGUGAAAUGCGUAGAUAUCUGGAGGAAUACCGGUGGCGAAAGCGACUCUCUGGACGGUAACUGACGCUGAGGUGCGAAAGCGUGGGGAGCAAACAGG